rnacentral:rRNA from 1 species
UACAGGGGGGCAAGCGUUGUUCGGAAUUACUGGGCGUAAAGGGCUCGUAGGUGGCCAACUAAGUCAGACGUGAAAUCCCUCAGCUUAACUGGGGAACUGCGUCUGAUACUGGAUGGCUUGGAUUCGGGAGAGGAAUGCGGAAUUCCAGGUGUAGCGGUGAAAUGCGUAGAUAUCUGGAGGAACACCUGUGGCGAAAGCGGCUCACUGGACCACAACUGACGCUGAUGCACGAAAGCUAGGGGAGCAAACAGG